CGCGUAGGCUGCGGGGCAAGUCGGGUGUGAAAUCUCAGGGCUCAACCCUGAAACUGCACUCGAUACUGCUCUGCUUGAGGACUGGAGAGGAGACUGGAAUUCACGGUGUAGCAGUGAAAUGCGUAGAGAUCGUGAGGAAGACCAGUGGCGAAGGCGGGUCUCUGGACAGUUCCUGAGCUGCGGCGCGAGGCCGAGGGAGACGAAACG
rnacentral:rRNA from 1 species